AGCGAACGCUGGCGGCAGGCUUAACACAUGCAAGUCGAACGCACUCUUCGGAGUGAGUGGCAGACGGGUGAGUAACACGUGGGAACGUGCCCUUCAGUUCGGAAUAACCCAGGGAAACUUGGGCUAAUACCGGAUACGCCCUUCGGGGGAAAGAUUUAUCGCUGAAGGAUCGGCCCGCGUCUGAUUAGCUAGUUGGUGGGGUAAUGGCCUACCAAGGCGACGAUCAGUAGCUGGUCUGAGAGGAUGAUCAGCCACACUGGGACUGAGACACGGCCCAGACUCCUACGGGAGGCAGCAGUGGGGAAUAUUGGACAAUGGGCGAAAGCCUGAUCCAGCCAUGCCGCGUGAGUGAUGAAGGCCUUAGGGUUGUAAAGCUCUUUUAUCCGGGAAGAUAAUGACUGUACCGGAAGAAUAAGCCCCGGCUAACUUCGUGCCAGCCGCCGCAGUAAGAC
rnacentral:rRNA from 1 species